CUGGUUGAUCCUGCCAGAGGCUACUGCUAUCGGGGUCCGACUAAGCCAUGCGAGUUGAGAGGGGUAAGCCCUCGGCGAAUUGCUCAGUAACACGCGGAUAACCUGCCCUUGGGUCCGGGAUAACCCCGGGAAACUGGGACUAAUACCGGAUAGAUCAAGGAUACUGGAAUGUUCCCUGGUCUAAAACUCCGGUGCCCAAGGAUGGGUCUGCGGCCUAUCAGGUAGUAGUGGGUGUAACGUACCUACUAGCCUACGACGGGUAAGGGUUGUGAGAGCAAGAGCCCUGAGAUGGAUUCUGAGACAUGAAUCCAGGCCCUACGGGGUGCAGCAGGCGCGAAAACUUUACAAUGCGGGAAACCGCGAUAAGGGGACCCCGAGUGCCAGUACCUAGUACUGGCUGUCCCGCUGUCUAAAUAACAGUGGUUAGCAAGGGCCGGGCAAGACCGGUGCCAGCCGCCGCGGUAACACCGGCGGCCCGAGUGGUAGCCGUUAUUAUUGGGUUUAAAGGGUCCGUAGCCGGCUUAUUAAGUCUCUUGGGAAAUCUGGCGACUUAAUCGUCAGGCGUCCAAGAGAUACUGAUAGGCUUGGGACCGGGAGAGGUGGGAGGUACUCCAGGGGUAGGGGUGAAAUCUCGUAAUCCUUGGGGGACCACCGAUGGCGAAGGCAUCCCACCAGAACGGGUCCGACGGUGAGGGACGAAAGCUGGGGGCACGAACCGGAUUAGAUACCCGGGUAGUCCCAGCUGUAAACGAUGCUCGCUAGGUGUCAGGUGCGGUGCGACCGCAUCUGGUGCCGUAGUGAAAACUUGAAGCGAGUCACCUGGGAAGUACGGUCGCAAGGCUGAAACUUAAAGGAAUUGGCGGGGGAGCACUACAACGGGUGGAGCCUGCGGUUCAAUUGGAUUCAACGCCGGA
rnacentral:rRNA from 1 species